CUACGGGAGGCAGCAGUGGGGAAUAUUGCACAAUGGGCGCAAGCCUGAUGCAGCCAUGCCGCGUGUAUGAAGAAGGCCUUAUGGUUGUAAAGCACUUUAAGCGAGGAGGAGGCUACUUUAGUUAAUACCUAGAGAUAGUGGACGUUACUCGCAGAAUAAGCACCGGCUAACUCUGUG
rnacentral:rRNA from 1 species